CCGGCAAACGGGUGCGGAACACGUACACAACCUUCCUUAAAGUGGGGGAUAGCCCAGAGAAACUUGGAUUAAUACCCCGUAACAUUAUGGAGUGGCAUCACUUUAUAAUUAUAGCUACGGCGUUUGAAGAUGGGUGUGCGGCUGAUUAGGUAGUUGGCGGGGUAACGGCCCACCAAGCCUUCGAUCAGUAACUGGUGUGAGAGCACGACCAGUCACACGGGCACUGAGACACGGGCCCG
rnacentral:rRNA from 1 species